AUAUGAGGAAAUGGGGAAAUGGGUAGGGGAUAUGGAUUCCACCUCAUCCUCAUUCCUUUCCCGAAUAAAAACCUGGGUAAAAAAUCGUCUCCGUCCCUUCCCCGAAUAAGAAAUUGGGUAUAAAAUUAUCCUCAUACCCUCUCCGAAUAGGAAAAAUCCCCAAGGGUCCCCGUCCCUGUGGGAAUUUUUGUCAUCCCUAGCUCAGAUCAUGAGAGGAUCAUGAUCCAAUUGGCUUUGACUAUUCACUUGCUAAUUAGAUUCUUGAAAUGGUCAUAUAUUACUCCCCAAAAUUAAUUUAUGCAUAUAAAUACAAUCGUUCUAAUUUUACGUCCAUUAUAGACCACUGGUCAGAAUUCUCAUUUCUGAUUUCUUAAGAUUGAUUAGUUUAAAUAUAGAUGAAUCUAUGUGUAACAUUCAUAUAGCUUGAUUAGAGCACGCAUGUGAACUUUGUUUGACCCAUGAAGUCCAAGAAAAGAUAACAAGUAGUUGAUUACUGAUUAGGACAAACUCUAAUUUUUUUCCCCUUGCUCAAUAUGAAGGGAACAAUCCUGCAAUUAUCUGAAAUGACUUAAAGCAUGCAUAUUGUGUUAAUCAUCUCCCAAUAACCCAUGCAAAAGUUUGACGAUUUGACUAAUGAUUCGAUUAAAGAUGUAUUAAAAAUGACAUUUUAGUUACUCAAAUAAUGAGUCAAAAAAUUAUUUUUAAGGAGGAAAAAAAAGGGUCUAUGGCAUAAUUAAUGAGUGAAUGGGCAACUAUGGUUAAACCAAACUUUAGGUUGGAUUCGGUUCGGUUUAAGCUAUAGUCUCCACUGGAUUGAAAAUUAGAGCCCGUUCGACGAGAAUCCAAGUUAAAGUCUAUUUGGAUUAGCAUUAAAAAUAUACAUUGUUUGGGAAGGAAACAUGAGGCCAACGAUGAAGCGCCACGUGUCGAUAUUUAAAAAAUUGGCUUACCUCGGGUACUUUGAGUACCCUAGGUACCCUGACUACCCUAAGUACUCUGGGGAUACCUCAGGUACACUAUGUAGGGGUGUAAAAAGUCUUUGUAAAAAUGUCAAGGGAUAGGUGGGCCCCGAAUCUAAAAAAGAUCGGUUGAAUACGUGUCAAAAAAUAAGGAAUCGAUGAGGAAAUCUCGUGCUACAAAAGAGGAGACAGCCGCCUAUCACGCCAGCGAAUCAACCAAAAGUUUGAUAAUAUGACAAUUGGGACCACCAGUUUUUCCUGCCACGCCUGUAAAAUUACAACGGAAUUGCUGAGGUAUGCAUGACCACUCCACUACACCUAGCACGUGAAUACGCCUCAAACUUACUCUCUACGCAUAUUUUUGAAAUACCUAAGCCGCCUGAAAAUAAGAAUAUUCUUGACAUAACAGCAGAGAAUGCCAAUAAUAUAACGCCAUGUGGCACAGCGACCCGAGGUACACCAUAUAAAUACUCAGGUUUAAUCUUCAACCUCAAAACUUCCAUUACUGAGAGCUUGCAAGCUCUUUAACAUGAGAUAACCCAACUCUAACUUAAGCGUCGGAGUGUGGUCGCUGGCCACCUCCGGCUCCACCUUUGACCUCUUUUAUGGUUUUUUAGCAGGUUUAAGACGAUUUUUGCCAGCCCUCCGCACCUGGACUCAAACCCCGUCUAUAUCCACCGCCAUCUCAAUCCCUCUCCGCUCCAUAAAAAAGCCUAAACAGCCCGCACGCACCGAACAAGUGAGGCACCUCGCUCCUCGACAAAAAACAAAUUUAUUGUUCUUAACUUGGUUUUGUGGUUUUUUAUUCAUUGACCCAAAAUCAGCCGCAAACAUAUAUACAUAUAUAUAGGGUACUGUUCCAAUCCGGGAGUCCCAAAUUGGAAUAGUUUUCGGGACAAAACGGUCCACCAUGUGCAGCCCACCAAAAAAAAAAAAACCAGCAGCGACCAUUGGAUUCCCGGACAAUUAUCCAAUCUAGGACUCCCGAAUUGGAUCACUGUCCCCCCCCCCCCCACACACACUCUCUCGCUCUCUAUCUCUCUCUCUCUCUCUCACAGCCUCACUUCCACACACCCGCAUGACGCCGACACCUAAGGUUGUCCCAUGUCAGUUUCGUUCCGAUGUUGCAGCUUCUAGCCUGAUUGUCGUCUCUUCCGUCUCUACUGACUGUUGUAGCUGACUUGCUUCUGAUCCAUCAAGGUUACUUCUUUUUCUUCUUCGUAUAAUUAUUAAUUGUUAUUAUAAACAAUUGAUUUUAAAUUAUUUUUAUGGCAAUGUGUUGAUUUAAAAUUGAGCAAAUUUGAUGGCGACUGAUGAUUCAAUAAUUAGGUGAAUUGGACGGUUGCUUCUCUCAAAGAGUAAGAGGGUAAGAAACUGUUUCAACCCGAAUUAACUUGAACUGAAAUUUGAACCCAAAUUACCAAGUCGAUUUGAUCUGAAUUUCAAACCUAACCUGAUCAAGUUGCAACCCAAACAAUCUAAAGCAAAACCUAAUUUGCCCAUCCCCACUGCCUACAUUAAAAAAGGGUUUAAAAAUUUGGGGCUAGGCUUACAGUAAUAAGGUGUUUGAAGUGAAAGGAAGAGUAGUGAUAUCUGACCCCGUAAUUUCUCUCAUUAAGCCUAUUUUUCAAUUAAUCUCACUUAUUUCUACAAUUAUUCUUGUUAAAUAAAAAAUAAUUAAUAAUAAUAAUAAUUGAAUAAACAAAUAUAACAUAAACCAUAUCCAUCUUCCACCACCACUAUCAUCACGUCAACCCAUUGCAUCAUUAGCUCUUAGUCACCGAUUGACCCUACAAUCAAAUUUCCCAACAGCUGCCGACCAAAAUCCUUCAUUUAUUUGAAUUGAUUUUAGUGAUAUUGAUAUGUUAGUACUAAAAUCAAAAUAAUAUCAAAUGAAAAGAGGUAAAAAAAAACAAUAAUCUCAUAAAUCAAGAAAUUAUAAAUUAAUUGGAACGAAUGAUAAAUAAUGAAGAUACAUCAAUAAAACGAUUGAGAUUGCAGUGAAUGAUAAAGAAUAGUGGCUUGAAGUGGUGAUAAUGGUAGUGGAAAGAUGACUAGGCUCUAUGGAAUUAUUUUUAUUUUUAAUGAGAAUAAUUUUAGAAAUAAAUAGAAUUAAUUGAAUAAUGAGGGUAAUUUUAGAAAUAAAAAUAAUUAAUGAGGGCUAGUAAAAAAAUUAAGAGGUCAAAUAUCACCACUCAAAAAGAAAAUAGAGACAAUUUAUAAAAUGAAGGAGUAGCACUACAUGCAUCCCUCAAGUAUUCUCUUGAAACUAACUGGGAUCGGUAAUUUGUAGGCUUGGGCUAGACUUUUCUAAGCCCAGGCUCCAACCCACAUUAUUAUUUUUUGAAUAAAAUGAAGCCC
rnacentral:lncRNA from 1 species